CUCUCCUUCUCCCACAGGCGUUUAGGUCUGAUGGCUUCCUGAACUGGCAUGUCCUCUCUGACAUGUUCAAAAAGGCGUUUCCUUUCAUUAGAUGGGAGUUACUCCCUCAGGUGCAAGGACUAAGAAGCGCAGCUCCUGAUUCGCAGUGACCAUUCUAUUUAAGACCUAGGACCUAGGCUGGCCCCAGAAGAAGAGGAGGCUAGCGUGGGAAUCCGACGUCCACUCCGUGACAAAUCUCCCUGGGGCUCGGUACCUCCAAUAAAGAGUUUUCCAUUUGAGAA